rnacentral:rRNA from 1 species
CAGUCGACGGAGCCUUAUCAGCAGAAGCAGCCAGCUUGCUGGAAGCGGAAGAGGGGAAGGCUUAGUGGCGGACGGGUGAGUAACGCGUGGGUAACCUGGCCCAUACAGGGGGAUAACACUUAGAAAUAGGUGCUAAUACCGCAUAACAACAGAAAGCGCAUGCUUUUUGUUUGAAAACCAAGGUGGUAUGGGAUGGACCCGCGUCUGAUUAGCUGGUUGGCGGGGUAAAGGCCCACCAAGGCGACGAUCAGUAGCCGGCCUGAGAGGGUGGACGGCCACAUUGGGACUGAGACACGGCCCAAACUCCUACGGGAGGCAGCAGUGGGGAAUAUUGCACAAUGGGGGAAACCCUGAUGCAGCGACGCCGCGUGAGUGAAGAAGUAAUUCGUUAUGUAAAGCUCUAUCAGCAGGGAAGAAAAUGACGGUACCUGAGUAAGAAGCCCCGGCUAACUACGUGCCAGCAGCCGCGGUAAUACGUAGGGGGCAAGCGUUAUCCGGAUUUACUGGGUGUAAAGGGAGCGUAGACGGCAGUGCAAGUCUGGAGUGAAAGGCGGGGGCUCAACCCCCGGACUGCUCUGGAAACUGUACGGCUGGAGUGCAGGAGAGGUAAGUGGAAUUCCUAGUGUAGCGGUGAAAUGCGUAGAUAUUAGGAGGAACACCAGUGGCGAAGGCGGCUUACUGGACUGUAACUGACGUUGAGGCUCGAAAGCGUGGGGAGCAAACAGGAUUAGAUACCCUGGUAGUCCACGCCGUAAACGAUGAUCACUAGGUGUCGGGGGUUA